rnacentral:rRNA from 1 species
CCAGCAGCCGCGGUAAUUCCAGCUCCAAUAGCGUAUAUUAAAGUUGUUGCAGUUAAAAAGCUCGUAGUUGGAUUUCUAGAUAAGUGGGUACUUGUACUUUGCUUGUCUACCAGUCAUAGACUGUUACUGUGAGAAAAUUAGAGUGUUUCAAGCAGGCUUACGCUUGAAUACAUUAGCAUGGAAUAAUGGAAUAGGACUUUUGUCCAUUUGGUUGGUUAUUGGACAUGAGUAAUGAUUAAAAGGGACAGUUGGGGGCAUUAGUAUUUAAUAGUCAGAGGUGAAAUUCUUGGAUUUAUUAAAGACUAACUUAUGCGAAAGCAUUUGCCAAGGAUGUUUUCAUUAAUCAAGAACGAAAGU